rnacentral:rRNA from 1 species
GACGAACGCUGGCGGCGUGCCUAACACAUGCAAGUCGAACGGGGUGGUUUCCUUCGGGAGAUCACUUAGUGGCGAACGGGUGAGUAACGCGUGAGGAACCUGCCUUUCAGAGGGGGACAACAGUUGGAAACGACUGCUAAUACCGCAUGAAGCAUUCGGGUCGCAUGGCCUGAAUGCCAAAGAUUUUAUCGCUGAAAGAUGGCCUCGCGUCUGAUUAGCUAGUUGGUGAGGUAACGGCCCACCAAGGCGACGAUCAGUAGCCCGGAUGAGAGGUUGACCGGCCACAUUGGGACUGAGAUACGGCCCAG